GUGGGGAAUAUUGGACAAUGGGCGAAAGCCUGAUCCAGCCAUGCCGCGUGUGUGAAGAAGGUCUUCGGAUUGUAAAGCACUUUAAGUUGGGAGGAAGGGCAGUAAGUUAAUACCUUGCUGUUUUGACGUUACCGACAGAAUAAGCACCGGCUAACUUCGUGCCAGCAGCCGCGGUAAUACGAAGGGUGCAAGCGUUAAUCGGAAUUACUGGGCGUAAAGCGCGCGUAGGUGGUUUUGUAAGUUGGAGGUGAAAUCCCCGGGCUCAACCUGGGAACUGCCUCCAAAAGUGCAUGACUAGAGUACGGUAGAGGGUAGUGGAAUUUCCUGUGUAGCGGUGAAAUGCGUAGAUAUAGGAAGGAACACCAGUGGCGAAGGCGACUACCUGGACUGAUACUGACACUGAGGUGCGAAAGCGUGGGGAGCAAACAGGAUUAGAAACCCCAGUAGUCC
rnacentral:rRNA from 1 species